CCUACGGGAGGCAGCAGUAGGGAAUCUUUCACAAUGGGCGAAAGCCUGAUGGAGCAACGCCGCGUGCAGGAUGAAGGCCUUCGGGUUGUAAACUGCUUUUAUAAGCGAGAAAUAUGAUGGUAACUUAUGAAUAAGGAUCGGCUAACUACGUGCCAGCAGCCGCGGUCAUACGUAGGAUCCGAGCAUUAUCCGGAGUGACUGGGUGUAAAGAGUUGCGUAGGUGGCAUAAUAAGUAGCUAGUGAAAUCUGGUGGCUCAACCAUUCAGACUAUUAGCUAAACUGUUAAGCUCGAGACCGUUAGGGGUAACUGGAAUUUCUAGUGUAGGAGUAAAAUCCGUAGAUAUUAGAAGGAACACCAAUAGCGUAGGCAGGUUACUGGGACGGUUCUGACACUAAGGCACGAAAGCGUGGGUAGCAAACAGGAUUAGAUACCCGUGUAGUC
rnacentral:rRNA from 1 species